rnacentral:tRNA from 1 species
GAGGGUGUAGCUCAGUGGGAGAGCACGUGCUUAGCAUGCAGGCGGUCCUAGGUUCAAUCCCCAGUCCCUCU